GGUGAACGCUAGCGGCAGGCCUAACACAUGCAAGUCGAGGGGUAACAUAGAAAAGCUUGCUUUUCUGAUGACGACCGGCGCACGGGUGCGUAACGCGUAUACAACCUACCUUUUAGCGGGGAAUAGCCCAGGGAAACUUGGAUUAAUGCCCCAUAGUAUAUAGACUUCUCCUGAAGUUUAUAUUAAACAUUUAUGGCUAUUAGAUGGGUAUGCGUCCUAUUAGUUAGUUGGUAAGGUAACGGCUUACCAAGGCAGCGAUAGGUAGGGGUCCUGAGAGGGAGAUCCCCACACUGGUACUGAGACACGGACCAGACUCCUACGGGAGGCAGCAGUGGGGAAUAUUGGACAAUGGGCGAGAGCCUGAUCCAGCCAUGCCGCGUGCAGGAAGACUGCCCUAUGGGUUGUAAACUGCUUUUACAGAGGAAGAACCACCCCCACGUGUGGGGGUUUGACGGUACUCUGCGAAUAAGGAUCGGCUAACUCCGUG
rnacentral:rRNA from 1 species